AGGAUCCGUGUGCGUUAAUUGCGCCCGCACGGAUCUGUGAGGGGGCGGAACACAAUCCCAAAGGAAAGGUUCCCUCCUACUCGAC
rnacentral:misc_RNA from 1 species